CUCGUCUGAGGGGACGCGAGGAUCGGCCUCGCCGCCGCUUCGUCCGGUGCUCGGGGCCCUGACAAGCUGCCUGAGGGGAGGCUCUUCUGAGCCGGACCUGGACCCUUACGAUUGCCGCCUGCUGCUCCUGCCUCCGGGUUUACAAGGGUUCCCGCCUUGCACCUCCCACCUCUGGACGUGCCUCCCCUUCUCUCCUCGCGUGUGGAGGGAGCCAGCGCUUAGGCCGGAGCGAGCCUGGGGGCGGCCGGCCGUGAAGGCUUCGCGGGGACCGAUUCGCCAUG
rnacentral:other from 1 species